rnacentral:rRNA from 1 species
AGAGUUUGAUCAUGGCUCAGGACGAACGCUGGCGGCGUGCUUAACACAUGCAAGUCGAACGGAAGUUACGAGGAAGCCUAGCGAAUUGUAACUUUAGUGGCGGACGGGUGAGUAACGCGUGGAUAACCUGCCUACAUGACCGGGACAACACCGGGAAACUGGUGCUAAUACCGGAUACGCUCACGAAUGCACAUGCAUAUGUGAGGAAAGGAGCAAUCCGCAGGUAGAUGGGUCCGCGUCCCAUUAGCUAGUUGGGGGUGUAAAAGACCACCAAGGCGACGAUGGGUAGCCGGCCUGAGAGGGUGGACGGCCACACUGGAACUGAGACACGGUCCAGACUCCUACGGGAGGCAGCAGUGGGGAAUCUUCCGCAAUGGGCGCAAGCCUGACGGAGCAACGCCGCGUGAGUGAAGAAGGCUUUCGGGUUGUAAAACUCUGUCUUCAGGGAAGAAAAAAAUGACGGUACCUGAGGAGGAAGCCCCGGCUAACUACGUGCCAGCAGCCGCGGUAAAACGUAGGGGGCGAGCGUUGUCCGGAAUUACUGGGCGUAAAGGGCGCGUAGGCGGUUUCUUAAGUCAGAGGUGAAAACUGUGGGCUCAACCCACAGCCUGCCUUUGAAACUGGGAGACUUGAGGGCAGGAGAGGGGAGUGGAAUUCCCAGUGUAGCGGUGAAAUGCGUAGAUAUUGGGAGGAACACCAGUGGCGAAGGCGGCUCUCUGGCCUGUUUCUGACGCUGAGGCGCGAAAGCGUGGGGAGCAAACGGGAUUAGAUACCCCGGUAGUCCACGCCGUAAACGAUGGGUGCUAGGUGUAGGAGGUAUCGACCCCUUCUGUGCCGUAGUUAACACAAUAAGCACCCCGCCUGGGGAGUACGGCCGCAAGGUUGAAACUCAAAGGAAUUGACGGGGGCCCGCACAAGCGGUGGAGCAUGUGGUUUAAUUCGACGCAACGCGAAGAACCUUACCAGGGCUUGACAUCCUCUGACAGCCAUUGAAAGGUGGUAUUCUAGCUUCGGUUAGACAGAGAGACAGGUGGUGCAUGGUUGUCGUCAGCUCGUGUCGUGAGAUGUUGGGUUAAGUCCCGCAACGAGCGCAACCCUUACGUUUAGUUGCUAACGUGUAGCGAUGAGCACUCUAGACGAACUGCCGUUGACAAAACGGAGGAAGGUGGGGAUGACGUCAAAUCAUCAUGCCCCUUAUGUCCUGGGCUACACACGUGCUACAAUGGCCGGUACAAAGGGAGGCGAAGCCGCGAGGUGGAGCAAAUCCGAUAAAAGCCGGUCUCAGUUCGGAUUGCAGGCUGAAAUUCGCCUGCAUGAAGUCGGAAUCGCUAGUAAUCGCAGGUCAGCAUACUGCGGUGAAUACGUUCCCGGGCCUUGUACACACCGCCCGUCACACCACGAAAGCGAGCAACACCCGAAGCCGGUGACUUAACCUGAAAAGGAGAGAGCCGUCGAAGGUGGGGUUGGUGAUUGGGGUGAAGUCGUAACAAGGUAACCGUA